GACAGAGAGAGAGAGUCAGUUCAUAGUCCACAUAAUGCUUUACACCGACCUUAAUGUGUUUAUGUUGCUCUAUUAUAGGAUCUUUAUCAUGUGGCUACUCUACUGCUUUCAUAUUAAAGGAUUUCUGAGACUAGAGCUCCUUUAGGAGGUCCUAGAGGUUUUUUAGAAAGUCCUAGAAGUCCUUCAGGAGGUUCUGUGGUCACUGAGGAGGCUGUAAGGGCCAUUUCUGAGGCUCUACUGGUGUUUAAAGAGCUGUUCUGGAGGCCUGUGGUGGAACAGUCCAAAUCAGUCAAUGUGGAUUUUACUGUGAGACCUUGAAAGCAUGAAAAUAUGAAGAACCAUUUCUGGCUAAAAAUACAAAUUUGUCAACAAACAACUCAUCCCGCAGUCAGCUUUAAGCCUUGUGAUGACAUGUCACCGUACUCUCUAUGAACAACCACAUUGUAGUGGAAGUCUGGAGGCCUGUGGUGUUUCCAGUACACAGCCUCCAUUUUAUUUAUAUAUGGAAAAUGAGCCGAUAGAUUUGCUUCCAGGCUUCUCUCAUUAAAAAACACAAGCCUUGAUCCUCUGCUACUGGAUUCAUUCAUUUCAGUGUGUUUGUGUGUACUCACGAUCCUCCGGGCACCCUCACGCUGCCCACUCUGUCGCAGAAGCCGUGCGCCCAGAGGGUGGGCA